UACAGGGGGUGCAAACGUUGCUCGGAAUCAUUGGGCGUAAAGCGCACGUAGGCGGUUCGUUAUGUCGGAUGUGAAAGCCCUUGGCUUAACCGAGGAAGUGCAUCCGAAACUGGCGAGCUAGGGUACGAAAGAGGAUCGCGGAAUUCCCGGUGUAGAGGUGAAAUUCGUAGAUAUUGGGAAGAACACCGGUGGCGAAGGCGGCUCACUGGCUCGUAACUGACGCUCAUGCACGACAGCGUGGGGAUCAAACAGG
rnacentral:rRNA from 1 species